rnacentral:lncRNA from 1 species
AUGUAUGAAUCCCACCCACCACCAAAAAGAGAUGGUUCAGAGGCUAGGCUCACCAGGUGUUGUGGGCUAGAGGUGCAGCGGCCCGUGAUCCUUCCACUGUCAGGAGUAGGAAGUGUUCGCUGCUCUGUGAAACCAGCCUCACGCUAUACCCUCCUAUCUAAGACUCACAAGACCCGUGCCUUCGCACAAGUCCUGUGGCUCAACUCGCAACUUGGAGCGGGCAGGCCAGCAUAG